GAGAGCAUAACUAAAUGAUAGCGACGUCUGUAACUGCCUGGUAGUGGGCCGUUCGGGGUCACGUGGAGUUUGUUACGGAGAGUAGUGGCGUCAGGGGGCUGUUCAGGGUCACAUGGAGUUUGUUAUGGAGAGUGGAGUGGUGUCCGUUAUCGCGACUUGCCAGAGAGUGGUGGAGCCACGUGGAAUCCGUUACAGAGAGUGGAGUAGGGUAGUGGCCAUU
rnacentral:lncRNA from 1 species